CCGCUAUUUAUACUCUCUCCAGGCCCAACACCGGCCGGUCCACUUCUCCCUCGUAAGGCAGCAGCCAUCUGCAACUAGGGUUCAUAACUUCAUAUAUAGCCAGUGACCAACAUGAGUGAUCGAAGGUACGGGUACUCGUACCCACACAACCAAGGGUAUUACAACGGACCACCGGUGAUGGCGCCGCCGCAGUACGCCCCGCCGCCGAGACGGCAGACGGGCUUCCUCGAAGGAUGCCUGGCUGCUCUGUGCUGCUGCUGCCUCGUCGACGAGUGCUGCUGCGACCCGUCCAUCAUAUUCGUGAGCUGAUCGAAACACGUACGCUAUCCAGACGACGGCCGACCGACCGACCGACCGACGAACCAUCCGAGCCGAGCUACGUACCUAACGUACUGGUAGUAGUACAUGUGCGAUUUAUAUAUGCGUGUCGUGUGUAUGUGUGCUUCCCUUGAGCUGUUGCUUUCAGCUAUAGCUAUACAUAUGCUCCUAGAGGCCUAGACCAAAGUAGAACUGCAGAAAGAAUAGCCAGCCCGUCCUGCCGUUCGGUUCAGCUCUCCAGCGGCACGACGGGUGGGUGGUGUAUGUAUGCAUGUAUCUGAUGUGAGUCUACGAAUAAUAUGAUGAGGAAAAAGAGAAGUUCAGCACCUUC